rnacentral:rRNA from 1 species
CGCGUAGGUGGCUUGAUAAGUCGGUGGUGAAAUCCCAUGGCUCAACCAUGGAACUGCCGUCGAUACUGUCAGGCUUGAGGGCGGUAGGGGAGAGUGGAACUCCUGGUGUAGCGGUGAAAUGCGUAGAUAUCAGGAGGAACGCCGGUGGCGAAAGCGACUCUCUGGGCCGUUCCUGACACUAAAGCGCGAAAGCUAGGGAGCAAACA